rnacentral:rRNA from 1 species
AAUGAACGUUGGCGGCGUGGAUUAGGCAUGCAAGUCGUGCGGAAAGGCUCCUUCGGGAGUACUCGAGCGGCGUAAGGGAGAGUAACGCGUGGAUAUCUACCCCCUGGACUGGGAUAGCGGCGGGAAACUGCCGGUAAUCCCAGAUAAUGUCUGCGGACCAAAGGUGUGAUUCCGCCGGGGGAUGAGUUCGCGUCCUAUUAGCUAGUUGGUAGGGUAAUGGCCUACCAAGGCAAAGAUGGGUACCGGGUGGGAGAGCAUGGCCCGGCUCACUGGGAAUGAGAAACUGCCCAGACACCUACGGGUGGCUCCAGUCGAGAAUCUUCGGGAAUGGGCGCAAGCCGGACCGAGCGACGCCGCGUGCGGGAUGAAGGCCUUCGGGUUGUAAACCGCUGUCAGAGGGGAGGAAAUGCGUGAGAGUUCUCUCUCACGUUUGACCUAUCCUCAGAGGAAGUACGGGCUAAGUUCGUGCCAGCCGCCGCCGUAAAAC